AUUGAACGCUGGCGGCAGGCCUAACACAUGCAAGUCGAGCGGAUGAAGGGAGCUUGCUCCUGGAUUCAGCGGCGGACGGGUGAGUAAUGCCUAGGAAUCUGCCUGGUAGUGGGGGAUAACGUCCGGAAACGGGCGCUAAUACCGCAUACGUCCUGAGGGAGAAAGUGGGGGAUCUUCGGACCUCACGCUAUCAGAUGAGCCUAGGUCGGAUUAGCUAGUUGGUGGGGUAAAGGCCUACCAAGGCGACGAUCCGUAACUGGUCUGAGAGGAUGAUCAGUCACACUGGAACUGAGACACGGUCCAGACUCCUACGGGAGGCAGCAGUGGGGAAUAUUGGACAAUGGGCGAAAGCCUGAUCCAGCCAUGUCGCGUGUAUGAAGAAGAUCUUCGGAUUGUAAAGCACUUUAAGUGGGGAGGAAGGGCAGUAAGUUAAUACCUUGCUGUUUUGACGUUACCAACAGAAUAAGCACCGGCUAACUUCGUG
rnacentral:rRNA from 1 species